AAAGAAGGGAGAAAUACAAAGAGGGUGAAAGACUUGUCCUUUUGAAUAAGUUGACCAUUUUAAUCGAUAGAUGUUUUGUUUUUGUUUUUGUAUCAUUCUGCUUAUUAAUGGAACCAAUUGUGAUUUAUGUGUUAUUACAUUUUCAGGUUGAUGGAAAAGUUGAAUCCUGGUUCUGUAAGAAACAUGCUUUUAAGAUGGUUAAAAAUCUGAAUGAUCUUGUCCAAACUGUUGAUCUGGUUGAAAAGAAAAUGUACCCCAAGUAACAGCUACGAUUGUUGCUGUUGCUCGCGCCUGUUGGCUUCAUCCAGAAUUCAAAGGACCUUACUUGACUGGAAAACCAGCUGAGCCUCAGCCAAGGCAUUUU